rnacentral:rRNA from 1 species
GACGAACGCUGGCGGCGUGCUUAACACAUGCAAGUCGAACGAUGAAGACCGGUGCUUGCACUGGUUGGAUUAGUGGCAAACGGGUGAGUAAUACGUGAGUAACCUGCCUUUGACUCUGGGAUAAGCCUUGGAAACGAGGUCUAAUACCGGAUACGACUAACCUUCGCAUGAAUUGUUAGUGGAAAGGUUUUGUACUGGUUUUAGAUGGGCUCACGGCCUAUCAGGUUGUUGGUGAGGUAAUGGCUCACCCAGGCGACCACUGGUAGCCGGCCUGAGAGGGUGACCGGCCACACUGGGACUGACACACGGCCCAUACUCCUACGGGAGGCAGCCGUGGGGAAUAUUGCACAAUGGGCGCAAGCCUGAUGCAGCGACGCCGCGUGAGGGAUGACGGCCUUCGGGUUGUAAACCUCUUUCAGCUGGGGAGAAGCGAAAGUGACGGUACCUGCAGAAGAAGCGCCGGCUAACUACGUGCCAGCAGCCGCGUUAAUACGUAGGGCGCGAGCGUUGGCGGGAAUUAUUGGGCGUAAAGAGCUUGUAGACGGUUUGUCGCGUCUGCUGUGAAGCCCGGGGCUUAACUCCGGGUUUGCAGUGGGUACGGGCUAACUAGAGUGCAGUAGGGGAGACUGGAAUUCCUGGUGUAGCGGUGGAAUGCGCAGAUAUCAGGAGGAACACCGAUGGCGAAGGCAGGUCUCUGGGCUGUAACUGACGCUGAGAAGCGAAAGCAUGGGGAGCGAACAGGAUUAGAUACCCUGGUAGUCCAUGCCGUAAACGUUGGGCACUAGGUGUGGGGGACAUUCCACGUUUUCCGCGCCGUAGCUAACGCAUUAAGUGCCCCGCCUGGGGAGUACGGCCGCAAGGCUAAAACUCAAAGAAAUUGACGGGGGCCCGCACAAGCGGCGGAGCAUGCGGAUUAAUUCGAUGCAACGCGAAGAACCUUACCAAGGCUUGACAUAUACUGGACUCCCCUAGAGAUAGGGUUUCCCUUCGGGGCUGGUAUACAGGUGGUGCAUGGUUGUCGUCAGCUCGUGUCGUGAGAUGUUGGGUUAAGUCCCGCAACGAGCGCAACCCUCGUUCUAUGUUGCCAGCACGUGAUGGUGGGGACUCAUAGGAGACUGCCGGGGUCAACUCGGAGGAAGGUGGGGAUGACGUCAAAUCAUCAUGCCCCUUAUGUCUUGGGCUUCACGCAUGCUACAAUGGCCGGUACAAAGGGUUGCGAUACUGUGAGGUUGAGCUAAUCCCAAAAAGCCGGUCUCAGUUCGGAUUGGGGUCUGCAACUCGACCCCAUGAAGUCGGAGUCGCUAGUAAUCGCAGAUCAGCAACGCUGCGGUGAAUACGUUCCCGGGCCU